rnacentral:rRNA from 1 species
UGCCAGCAGCCGCGGUAAUACAGAGGUGGCGAGCAUUGUUCGGAUUUACUGGGCGUAAAGGGUGCGUAGGCGGCAUAACGUGUCGGAUGUGAAAGCCCACGGCUCACCCGUGGAACUGCAUCCGAAACUGUUGUGCUAGAGUACGGGAGAGGAGAGCGGAAUUCUCGGUGUAGCGGUGAAAUGCGUAGAUAUCGAGAGGAACACCGGCGGCGAAAGCGGCUCUCUGGAACGAUACUGACGCUGAGGCACGAAAGCUGGGGGAGCGAAGAGGAUUAGAUA